CACUCGAUAUGUCGAAAAUGACUCUCGGCAACGGAUAUCUCGGCUCUCGCAUCGAUGAAGAACGUAGCGAAAUGCGAUACUUGGUGUGAAUUGCAGAAUCCCGUGAACCAUCGAGUCUUUGAACGCAAGUUGCGCCCGAAGCCAUCCGGUUGAGGGCACGUCU
rnacentral:rRNA from 1 species